UUAAAAAUAAUUCAUAUAUAAGUUGUUUUACAUUAUUUUAGUGUUUUUUUUUGCAUGUUGUGGAUGAGCACAAUGAACAGUACGUCUACAAUCAAACUUGGGUAAACAUGACGACACGAAGUAGACUGACUAGGAGGAGUUGUUGUGGAGCAUCGACCGUUACAAAGCCAGUCAUGUCAACAUACCCAUACGAUGUCUUUGGAAUUUUAUCUGCUGCCAGAAGACCAUACGAUGUCCUUGGAAUUUUAUCUGCUGCCAGAAGACCAUACGGAAUGGUCUUCUCUUGGUUGAUUGGCUAUUUCUUGACUUCCAAAGACCAAACACUUGAGGAGGACGUGGAACACUACGGGAAGCACAUAAAUACUCCAACUAUAUCCUAACUAGGUAGGAUAUAUGGAAAGCAACAUUCAGGAACACAAGCAUUGAAAGAAAUCUUCAAUAUAUGCCAUCUCAAAUUCAUAUUUGUAAUACUUUCCAGAAA